AGUCUCAAAAUAUAAAAGUGAAGAAAUGUCUAGAAAACGUAUCCAAAAUGCCCAAGAUCCUUCUUGUCACUUUCCCCCUGCCCUGAGAAGUCGUCUUAUGCCAGGAAAACUGGCACGUGGAUGUGAAGAUAUAUUGAUAAACAAAAUAUAAGAAUGCUUAGAAAAACAAAGCAUGCAUGAAAUGCCUUAGGUAGAUGAUAAUCUUUUUGGAAGGAAAUCAGAAGAUCUUACUUUAGCACUCACAAUUGCUCUUCCAAAACUCUUGAGGACCUGAGAGGUCCUGGAAUGCUGUAUCCGUGGCUUGCUCUGAUCUUGGGAGGAAAAAGGAAGAAGAGAAGGUGACAACUACUGCAGUAAGUCAAAAAUCACAUUGAAGAGACAACAUAAUUUAUAACAGAAAAUAUUAGUGAAAAAUCAAGGUUUUCUAUAGAUAGCUGUAGCUUCUCUGUAGGUCCCUGCAAUGCAUCACCAAAUUAAAAUAGGACAAAUCUGUGUAUACUUAGGUGUGUUGCAUAUACUGUGUCACUGUUAAUAAGUAGCGUGGCCCAAAAGGAGCAGACCUGUAGAACCAAAUUGGUGCUGAGGAUCCACAAUGGGCAUUGCUAGGGAAGGAAAUACUUUGGACUAGUUCUGAUCUGGUCCUGUGGACUGAAUGCCAGUUAGCAGUUGGAAUUUGUUAAUCGUGCUCCUGAAGGUCAUCUUUUGGUUUAGUUUUCUCUUGAAGGAAUCAGCUUCAUCUUCUCCAACACAAUUCUGCAAUGUGAACCAAAGCACGGGAGGAGGAGAUGAUCCUGAUCUGAAUUAAAACACUAAUGCAGACAUAUAUAUACUUAAUUGGAUCAGAACAAUGGUGAUUAUGCCACCCUUAAGUGGCAUUUUGUAUAUACUAGAGAACGCUCUAUUAGCAAAGAAAGAAAGUAACAGAACUAGGAAAACAAAACAAAUAUGACAGAGGAAUAUGAAGUUUCAUAAUAGAUGUACUCAACCAAGCUGUAAUAUAUUCUGCAAGGGCCACGAUGAAAUGUGAAAAUAAAGCUGUAAGAGAUCUGGGUCAUCUACGCUUAAAUUAAAUCAAGCUUAAAAAUGCAAAGACACUGUCCAAAAGCCUGGAAAAGUGUGCACUCAUGAUUCAAUAGGAAAAAAAAAUUUGGAAAGCAACCAUUUUGAAAGACAAGUGCACUUCAAACUGAAUCUCAUUUUGCAGUCUCCAGUCUUUAUUUGUCAUGUCAUUUCCCUUUUUCAACCAUUGAGACAAGAUGUACUAGACUAUAUAAAAUGUCACCUGACAUCUUGAAUUAAAACUCUGAAAAGCAGGGGCCGGGUGAAGGGAACAGAUCUGAUGCUGUGGUGAAACCAUCCACCCUGAAAAUGCUUUUCAAUGCAAAAGUGGUAAUUGCAUGUUACUAACUAUAACUGUAAACCUAGGCUAAUAUAAUACCGUGGUCAUCCCAAAUGUGUGUUCCUAUGAUUCUGAUCUUUUGCGUCUCCUUAAUCCCUGCACAUACUGCUUCAUGCUUGUUCACUUUACCUGCUGUCUGCGUUCCACGUGCAGUUUUUGUAAGCAGGCGGGAUUAUCUUUUUAGCAGUAUCUAGCACCUGGUGACCUUUGCAUGCUACUUGUAUUCAGAUAAGUUACUGACUGUCCACAGGGCAACAUGCAGUUUUAGGAAGCUAAGGUUAAUGAGUAAAUUUAGUUUUAUGUCCUCCUGGGUCAUACGAUACUGAAGGGCAAAAUGUGUUUGGAUAGGAAAGAUUGAAACUGUUGCAGUUGUAGCUAGGCUCUGCUCUGAGCCCCUAAAGAAAGCUUAGGCAUUUGCUGAAAUUGAAAAUGUCGUUGUUAAUGGAACCCAUAGGAGGAUGGUGAGCUAUCCUGACUGGUUAAACCUUUCUUUUCCCUGUAAAUGGAAACCGCAUGCAAUUAGGUCAGUAGGACAAAGAGAAUUUCAGUUUUUAUGCAAUAACAUGCCAUGCUUUGUACAACUCAAAAUAAGUAAGUACCAGUGUUUAAAAACAAAAAGCCAAAGAGAGGGUUUUGACUCAAAUGAAAAUCAGGCAGUUGCCUCUGGGUGUCUGCUCACCUCUGAAGAGGUCAAGAAGCAGCUCCUGAAGUACAGCACUUUUCAGCUUGUUGCAGUAAGGUACAUAGACAUCAGAGCUGGUUAAUUGAAUCAGCCAUACAAUUUUAAUUCACCACCACUUAGAAACUGAAUUCCCAUCAAAUCAAGAUGGGAUUUUUGUUUGUUUCAGUUAUUCAUAAAAUUUUAGUGAGUCACUGGUCUCGGAGAAAGCCUAACAUGUUCCAGCUCUGCCCUGAGGAGAGAAACAGGGUAUAAGCAGUGAGAGGAAAGGAGGUUAUGCUGCUGCAAUGUCUUUCUGACAGUGGUAUGCCUUUUAAUGAGGCAUUGAGAUUCCUAUUUCCUGUGUGGCAAAAGGUAAGAGUAAAUAAAAUGAAUGGGAAGGAGAAUGCAAAUGAGAAUAGGGAUAUGGGACAGUCAAACCUCCUAUCUUAAAUGUUGCAUACCAAAUAGUAAUUCAGCUAACAGCAGUUCUGUCCUGUUUCACCUGGGGCAUUCAGUGCCCUGUGCUUUCCUUCUCCCUGUACAUCUCAUUGUUAUUGAUGAGUGACUUCAAUGAAGGCUGGCUAGAGGGAGCUGGGCCUGUUCCCUUUCUGCUCUGGCACAUUGCAUACUAGACACAUCUGGUCAGCCUGAUCUUCGGUCUCCCUUAAAAGCCCUUCCUUAGAAAGUAUGUCUCAGCUGUGGCUAGUACCACGGCCUUUCUCCCAAGCGUAUGACUCCUCACAUCCGCUUUCUCAUUUAACUCCAUACUGCAAAGGAAAAUACCGCACUAGUGAGGGCUUGGGAGCUUGGGAACCAUUUAUCCAUGCUUUAACUGCUCGGUGCAUUUGGCCAGUUUUGCUGUAGGCAGGAGAAUUAGAGGAGUGCUUGGGGAGAAAACAAUGAGAAAAUGGAGACUGGAAAUGAGUGUAUCACAAGUAGACUGAAUUUAGGGGUGAGAAUGGAAGUGAGCAAGCAUAAAAGAGCAAAAAUGAGAGAAAGACUAAACAAACAAUUAUUAAUGAGGUACCAGAAGGCAAAAUUGUGCUCGUUAGUAUUAAACCUGCAUUGUCAGCCUGUCAUAAUUAGUGGGGAUGAUGACUACAUUCACAGCCCUGGAGUGGAGCUCCUGGUGUGCCCAGCUGAACCAUCAAAGCAGCGUCUUGCCAGUCACAAACACGGUAGCUGAGCACAGUACAGGGCACGGACAGAAUCCAAAGAGAAGCAGCAUGAAAGUCUCGUGCUCAUCCCUUACCUACAAGACAGGGCUCACAGGAGCCUUCUGUGCACUAGAGGAAGCGGAGGUCAGGGCAUGAGGUGAGAUUAAAAUUAGGGAGUGUGGGGCAGAGGGAAAUAAAUCUGAGGAAUGGCUUAAGGCAUAAAAGGGAUGUUCCAGGGGAACAGGGAAGGAAAGAGAAGAUGAAUGAGGAGAGAGUUCCUCUGGAUUACUGCAGAACUGGAGAUCCUGUGGAAUAAAAGUAGUAGAGAGGAAACAGUCUGAGUGGGAAGAAAACUACUGAAAUGAGAACAAAAGAAUUGGAAGGGAUGGAGAAAAAGGAAGACAGAGGGGGACAGAUUGAAGUGGAAAAGAAAAACUGGAAAAAAAAAAGAUAAUUUUAAGAAGGUAGCCUAGAUCUUGCCAACAAAAUUAUUAGCGUAUGACUGGAAGCAUCUUUCAGCUAGAAUCCAAACGUAUGUACUUCAGUUGUUUCUAGAAUACAUACGUAGGGCUACCUUUUUAGUGGAACAGGAAACUGUACCUUGACUUUUGUUCAAACUGUGCCAUUAACAGUAGCAGAAUUUGCUUUUCUGACAUUACAGUAUUUAACUUGGCAUCCCCUCUAAUGCGCAAGACAGCAGAGCCAUGAGGGAGAUGGAUUAAUAUAGGUAAGUAUUUUCUGCAUGGGAUAAGCCUGUUUAGUGCCAUUACAUUAAACCUUCUUAUUCCUCCCCUGUGGAUGCACAAGUACCUAAGCGUAUGUCAAAUACUUUGAAAAUGUUGCUGGCUAUCAGAAGGGCAGUGUCCUUGACCAUUCAUCUCUGGCACAGAGCCAUAAUUAAGGAGUUCCUCAAAUUCAGGAUUGGAAUCAUGAGAGCAUUUUAUCCCAUUUGUUCUUAUUUCCUUUACAACACAAGAAAGGUCUAUCUUGGCCUUUUUUCACCCCCUCCCCUUCUUUUAAUUUCCAGAUAAUACUGCCCAUAUUCCACAAUUCUUCUCAUAGCAUGUAGUCAGAUGAAGGUGCUCCCUCCUGAUGGCUAGUAGUCAUUUUCUGGUAAUUCUAAUAUUUCCAUAACUGAGACGGAUGUUUUGGCUACAUAAGUGCUUGCAGCUGUGGUCAGAACGUAGUACAGCCAAACACUGUCACGAGUGUAUGUUACACACCCAAAACUCAGUUCCAAAUAGUGUUUGUGCUGCAUUUUAAGUGAUCAUUUUAGUUCUUAGGCCUCUCCAUGACAAUCUAAAUUCUUGUUAUUGCAGGAUUAGUCAACGGCAAAACCUAACUGGAAGAUGACUUUUCUCCCACAGAAACAGUGGGUGGAGACCUGGGUUCACAUCCUCACUCUCUGUCUAAGUAUUCUCUGUUCUUGGCCAAAUCAGAAUGGACUGGGAUUGUGAUCCUGAGCCCAUUUGAAUAACCCAGGUUCUGUUUUUCUCAUUAUAGACACAAAUUUCAGAUCUGGGAUUCUGGUGUAUGCAUAGGUCUUUUCUAGGCUAUAUGUGAUUAUAUUAGCUCAUGGCUCUAGUCCUGAGGAGAGUGUAAUUUCAUCCUUACACUGCAAAAGGUUAAUCUCUUCUCAUUAGAAAUAAAGGGUCACAUCAUGUGGCUAAAAAAAUAGCAAAAUACAUCUGAAUUUCCUACCCGUGUGAGUAGUGGAAAAAUGAACAGGAGUGGGAAGGAGUCAUCGCAUCAUAUACUUAACUCAUCUAAAUCUGGAUGCCUAAACUAGUUUUCUACAUCAAAUUAUUCUCAGGAGGAGUCAUCUCUUUCACGCUUAGGACAGUCUAGAGAGACUGGGCUUCUAAUUUAUAUGUCAAAGACAAAUACCUAAAAAAAGGUACUGAGAAUCUCUCUCCUUCUUCCCAGUCUUUUAGACUUUUAAGCUGUUAACUUAUUUAUACUGCUGGACUUUCUGAAAAGUACAUCAAGAUGUCUUUUCUUGGGCUCCAGAGAAAUAAGAAACAACAAAGGAACUUCAAGAAAGCAGAGAAUGAAAAUUUCUCAGAAAAGAAAAACAGAACUGAAAAGAAGGAGCUGCAGAUGUGCCCAACAGCCACAACAAUAAUUGCUGCGUUUGGAGCUGACCUCUCAACCUGCGUGAACUAUGAAAGCUUAAUGAGCAAAACUGGCUAUGCAUUUAAUAAAUGAGCUGAAGGACCAAAGAAUGUCAUGUUUUGAAGACUUAGCUACAGACAAUCCAGGACGCUGUUUGGCAGUGCCUGCAUCCCAGGAGAAGAGUGCCAGAGGGACAAACCAGCCGCUAGUAGUACCUGGUGAUCAAAGUAAGUUUUCUUUCACUUUUGCAUUCCUGCAGGUGUUUGGAGCCCUUAGUUCAACUUCAGGCACAGGCUUGCAUCUCCAGUCUUUCUUCACAUAAGCAGUCUUGUGAAAAUGGAAGCAAUUCUGCCUUUGCAAACAUUUUUCAUGACAGUCUAACUUUACUGGUUCCAAUGGAAAUCCUCUAGAUUUGAACUGCUAUGAAUGAAACUGGGCUCAGACGUUCAAUGUUUGUGGGUUACAGACUGCUUAAAUGUGCAUACGCAGUGUUGUCCUCUGACUCAGAAAUAUCUUUGCCUUGGAAAAAAGUAAUAUACGAAACAAACUCUUGUCUUUCUCCAUUCACAGACCUCAUCUCUUUAAUAUUGCCCUACAUUUGUCUUAACACAAUUUAUUGCAUAAAUGGCAUUGAUGUUUUUCAUUGAAAGCAGUGAAUGAAAAACAAACACAUUUUACUAGUCUAUAGUAAUUGAGCAUGUUUGUGACUAAAUACCUCCUAAUUUGAAAGAUAUCACUAGCUCUCACUAUGACUGCAAUAAUAACAUAGCAAUGCACUUUGUUUCUGGCAUAGUUUCAGCUCUUCCAUGGAACAUAAGUCAAGAUCAUAUAUUUCAGUUAGCCUCCCAGGCUCUCAAACCUCAAUGUGAGUAAUGAAGAGAAAGCAAUUUGAUUAGCUAGUGGAGCUGACUAGAAGGCACCUUCAUUACAAAAGGAGGAUAAAAAAGGAAUCAAGCUAUACAAAAUGGCUUAAAGGUAGAAUAAUAAUAAUAGUAUCAAACUGCAUAACAAAGAAAAACAUUUGCAUUCAACUGAAAAUAGUAUUUAAGAGAUGGUACAAUGAUGUCCAUGGCUUUAUACUCUUCUGGCACUUUCAUUUUAAUGAUCUUUACCACAGCUUGAGGUCCUUUGUCUUGUCCCCCUUCUACCGACAUCAGCUGGAAGUGACAGAGAUUAAAACAAGGGUAAUUUCCCCAUGGUCAUUGCUUGGCACUAUUUAUGCUUUGCUCAGCAGUGAACUGAAGUUUAAAGGAUGAAGUACUGUCACUCAAACUGAUUUUUCCCUCCACCCUUUCUUACCAGGGUUAACCACUCAGCCAGUCACCAAGGAAACAUGUGGCUCCCUUGCCCAUCUUAUUGCCACCCUACAGCCUCAUAUGGAGAACGACACCAUAAUCUCAUUAAGAGGUUGAAUUUGCCAUUGAAGCUUGAAUUCCCAUAACAGGAUGGGAGUGGACUAAUGCAAUUAAGCAAAUCAGUGUUUUGAGCCAUUGCAUGAUAUCUAUCUAAUACCAUGAGAAAAGACUAGCUAGUUUUUUUCCUCUGUAACAAAAAAAAAGAAAAAAAAUCAAUAAACAAAUGACCAAAUCCCUCUCUCCCACGUUAUGUUCAGAGAAGCUAAUUCUUUAGUUCUCUUCCAACUGUAAAGGUCUUUCAUAUUGAAAGAUAAUUAUUCGCUUGACUCAAAACCUGAAUUUUCCCCCUCCUUUUGUCAAUAUUUCCAUCGCAGGGAUUCUAAUACACAGUUAUUAGUUUUAUCUGUGUAGCAUUUGUGGUGUGAAGGUAGAGCAGAUGAUUGUGAAACAAAACCUUAGAGAGCUUAAAUAUUAACUAAUUCUACUACUUCAGUAGCCUGCUAUUUUUGUUUUGUUUUGCUAUGGUCUUAUGGUAUGCCGUAGCGGAUACCAGAUCAGAACAAAACUCCCAUGGGUUUUAAAACUGUUUUGAGGCAAAAUGUUUUGCAAGUUUUGUGAAUGACUAUUCUAAAAUGUGCCAGAUUUUCUGGAGAUAAUUCAGGCACACUUAGUAGUUCUCUAGAAAUGUGGAUUAUUAAAUGCCUAAGGCAGAGCUUUUCUGGCUUUUGUUGCUGGGUUUUGAGGAUAAUCCAGCCCCUCCUCCCUCCCUCUCCCUGCUACCUAAACAAAGCAGCAGAAUGAACUGUAGCAAGAGUCGGGAACCAUAAAUCUUUAAAUAACAUUCCGGCAUGUGAAAUUCAAAGGCAGCGUGUUUCUCUGAGAGCUCAGGGCAGGGAUGGGAGAAGCGGCGUGCUCCUGCCGAUAACGCUGUCGCCUCUGUCACGCUGUUUCUUCCUGGGAAGGUGGAGGGUGGAAGGACCCAGGGCUGCUCUGGUACUAGGAGCCUGCGACACGUGUCGACUACCGAGGCGCGGAGGAGCGCACGGCGCUCGCUUCUCGCUGUCCUCAACGUCCAGCGAGAAAGGCAGCAACACUAAAUGUGCCUUAGUAGAUGUUAUUGUGUUACCACUUGUAUCCUCUUCAAUAAAUCCUGUUCUGCCACUGGGCACUACAGGCAGAAGGAAUGAGAACAUGGUUUAUUACUAAAUAAGGGCAUUGGUUAUGCGCUCUGCUUCAUACAAAACAUGGUCCCUAUCCUAAGCUGCUUACAAAGUAGGCAUAUAUUAUGUUGACAGGAGACAGAGUUUCAAGUGGCAAUGUAAUCUUGGCAUUUUUGCCCAAAAUACAAAUAACUCCAAGACUGAGUCAGCACUGAGAAUAUCUGCCACAAACUUGAAAACAAAAUAUAGUACAGAUAUGCUGUGGUUGUUCCAAAAGUGUCAUGGGCCUAAGUAUCUCAAUAGUUACAAACUCCCAAAAUGUGAGAGUUAAGAUGUUAGUGUAGAGAAAUGCAUGUGCUAAAAUAGAAAAUACAUGACUGAGGAUCCUAAACAAAAUGAGCUCUCCACUAUGAUGACAAUAAUCAUACAGUUUGGAUUUGACUAUUUUAGUAUUUAUGGCAUCAGGUUAGAUAAAGGCAAAAUUUAAAAAAUGAAUUGGUGUUUUAAAAUGUCAUUUUCCCUCCUGAUAUCACCACAGGACAAAAGUAAGGGAUGAUUUUUUUCCUCAUGUAAAUUCUUAUGUAACAUCAGUAUAAGGCAAUCACAUGUAGGGCGACAUGCCGGACUGUAUAUCUUUUUUUUCCUUUCAUGAUGUUUGGAUUUAAAUGUAGCAUUAAUCCUGAAUAUCCUGAUUUGAAAAGCUUAGUUCUGUAAUUUAUUGUAUGGUAUCCUUUAAAAGGCUUUGCUUUAUAGUGCGUUGUAGCCUUGAGUUAACAAUACAGAUUUCAGUUCUUAAGUUUAUACUAGCUAGUUUUGCUUGGAGAAUUUUAUUCAUUUAAAACAAUGUAGAAUUUCAAGUGUGAACACUGAGAAAAAAAUAAAAAGAAUAUCAUUAUUUAGCACCACUUAUUAGAUAAAACUUGAAGUAACAACCCAGAUGGAGAAAUUCACCAAGAUGCCAAAGAACAUAAAAUAAAACAUGCCAUCCAGUAACAUUGGGUUUACAGCUUUUAUUAUCCUAUGAACUUUUCCUAUAUUCCGAAGUUUAUGGAUUCAGAGCAUCGCCAAGCAGUUCAGACACAAUCUGUGAACCUGGCCUGUAGCUUUACAGUUGAUCUCUGAGGUUGCAGGGCUGUUACAGCAAGACCAAAAGGAUAUGCAGCAAGAGCAGGAGAACUUGAGCCCUCACCUUUGUGCUUGUAGCAAUGGUUCCCUCAGCAGUGUAACCCACCAAAGAUGCUGCCACCCUCGCUAUGGUGAACGGACCCGCUGCAGGCAGGUAGCUCAUCAGUAGAGAAGCGAGUAGCUGACUUACCUCUGAUAUCACAGUGACCCACUGAAGAAUUACCUCAGCUGUACUUCUGAACCUGCCUGGAGUCUAUCUAAUCACAGAGAUUAGCUGGAAGAGCCAUUAAUAACUUAGCAGAGUUGUAACCUUAUUUCUUCCGGUAUAUUCCAGGCACACGAUAAAAUUAAUAUUAACUACAUGAAAAGGGAAUGUAUUAUUCCAUUGUUAAAGAGGAAGAAAAAAGACCUGAUACAAAUGCUAUACUUCCUACUAUUUAAAUAAUUAUACAUCAAGCUAAUUAGUACAUGUUCUUGAAAACUCUUAAAGGGCAAGUGCCCAAAACGUGGCAUUUUUGACACAAAAGAAAACACUGAAGCCAUGUUUUGUGUCUGCCAUGAAAUGCAGCUUUAUUUGGGGACCUGCGACCACCGUCCCCUCAGUAGCUGGGGCACAAUUGUCCUGUUGGAAUAGAUCAGAGUUUCUCUUGACACGGAGUUUGAAGCAAAGUUUGUAUUGAUAAGACAUGAAGGCAAGGCAGGAGUUUUCUAAGCGGGGGGCGCCUGAGAGUGGAUAUGAGAAUGAGAAACCAGAGAAGGUAUUCACUGCUGUUUGAAGAGGUAAGAAAUGAAGAGCAGAGCUAGAGCUACCCUGUUGCCUUUACGGUGUGCCUAAGAUCUGCCAGUGGCAUCCAGCUUAAUUACACAAAUUAAAGGUGACCAGUGUAGGAUCUUCAUGUGAGUGUGGUGAUGUUCUGUGACUGGUAACAGGCCUGGGCUGAUGCAAGGAAGUUGGAUAAUCCACAUUAUUUGCUCCAAAGCAGGUAAGAUAGGAGAGCACUGCCAAGCUUCCAUGACCAGGUUUUCCUGGUACCAAGGCACAUACCUUGUUUCAUCUCACACAGGGGUUUUGAGUUCACUGAGCAGCAACCAUCAUUUUCCCUCUCCUUCUCAGCCCUCCUCCUUCCCUCUUCUGUUUUUGAGGGUUUAUUUUGUGGCUCUGUGAGUUUCUGUCACAACAAGAUUUCAAUUGGUGGUUUACACAGUCCCUCUCUACUGCAGAUCAGGCACACAAUAUUUACCUCAAUGCAACUUUGCAUUGUAUUUCUCUGUCUUGACCCAGUGGCAGACUUAAACAUAAUGGAUUCAAAUUCUGUGGGCCUCCGGCAUCCUUCCACCACUGAUCAGAAAUAGAGAGCUUUCAUAUUUCAUGUGUGGAAGGAAGCAGGAAAGGUAAACCCACAAAGAUGGUAGGAUAAGAUCUUAAAAAUUAUGCUGCAGGCAAGGAGAAAUAUUUGAAGAGAGUAGUAACAUGGCCCAAAGGGCAAGCAUGAUUUUGAAACACUGAAUGAACAAGAGUUAGAUGAGAUGAGAAAGCAGGAGGCAGAGAUAAUAAAGGCAUGGAGAUGCUUAAGGAAAAGAGUAGUAAAGGAGGAUAAACUUCAUGCCAAAAGUGAGUCUGCUUUUUUAUAUUCUGAGUGUUAAUUUCUUUCAUGCAGUCACUUAGUGCAGUAAGUGUUAGCCUAGACUGCAGCACUCAUUUUGUAUUUUUAGUCUCUUCAAGAAAAGAAAUAAUACAUGCAUAAAUAUACAGAAUAUACAUACAAUACAAUCUCUUUGCCUCUUGAGAUUAUAAACUUUUCUUGAAUAGAAAAAGUACAGUGUACAGAAUCUACAAUUAAAGCAACUACACAGAGCUUUAAAGUUAUAAAUGAUGAUAAGCUUAAAAAUGGUUAGUGACAAACUGGCAAUUUAAUAGACAUUUAAGAUUUUUCUUGCACUUCAACGGAGACAGAAGUGUUAUAAAAAUUGACGUCUCUCUCUGGAGAGUGGCAAUGAAGAUUCUUACUAUGAGAGUCCAAAAGAAAUGAGGACACAACUUGUUGUGUGGCAUGCAGAAGCACUGCAAGGUACAAAUACAUUACUGUUGACAGCAAAAAGAGUCAGGUAUGUAUUGUUCUUCAAGUGAGGGCUGUCAUACUGUAAUGCUUUACAUUAUUGUAUAGUGUUUAUUACUAAAGGAAGUGCCCCAAUUUUAAUAUCAGCACUUUGUCUGAGGAGUCUCACACACCUGUUUUGGGGGAGAAGCAACAUUGAUUCGUGUGGAAAAGACAGAAUUGACUAACACCGAAACAGAAUAGAGAAAAAAAGAUAAAAAUAAUGGUCUCAGUGUUCCUUUUGCAGGAAAGGCUCUGUGUAUGAUGCAAAUGAUACAAAAUUAAUGCAUUUGUGACAAUGAAUUAAAAAUGAGAAGUGGAAUAAAUAUAAACUUGCUGUUGUUAAAAUUAGACUGCAAUACUAUGUUCCUCAUUAAAUGCCACAUUAUACUGGCACCCUUUGGAACAAUGUUGCUUACCCUUUAAGGGCUAAGUGGCUUCUUUGUCAUAAAAUGCAGAGACACACAAAAUCCUGGUGUGACAAAAGCCUACGAUGUGCUGGGUGGGUCUGUUAUGAUGACGCACUAAGAAACUGGCAGCGGGUAUUAGACACAGCCAUGGUUUGUCAUAGCCUUCUCCACCUCCUUCCAGCUCCCCUCCCCUUCUCCUCUGAGUUCUUUUUGUCCACUUGGAAAAGGCAGGUGAAGUACAGGUAGAGAGAUAAGUACAAAUUACUAUCAGGCUGCAGUGGGAUAAUUUUCCUAACAUAUUGUAAUACAAAGUAUGUCCUAGGUCUAAAGGAAUUUUAUUAAUUGUUGGAAGGUAAUUUGAUUCGUGAACUUGCUUCUCUUUUUUCUCUCACCCAGAUUCUUUCCCCGCUUCACCCAAAUUCUCCCCUUUGCUAUGUGAUGCUAGAUUUAGAGAAAUCUAGGUGAGCAGUUUGAUUUAUAAUCCAACACUAGUUAUUGAUAAUGUGUGCAAAACUCUCUGGUUCAGUACAGAUCUUUAAACAGUGACAAAAGGUUGGCCCACUUGUCAUCUCCAAAUUUUUCUCAGCACACACAUUUUAAGAUGCCCAAAUGGCUAUUUUCUUAGACAUUGUUGCCCAACAUAAUUUUCUUACUUUUAACUCACAGAAUAGUUCCUUUUUAAAGCAAACUAACAAUUGAAAACUUCUCUGACAAUUCUGAUAAAAUUAUUACACUAAAAAAUUGCCACAGUGAUCUUGGUUCAAUCAUUUUGAGUCCUAAAAAUUGUCUGAGCUUUGCUAUAUUCUUUCUAUAAAUUUUCCUCAAAAUUCCAUUUUUAUUAUGAUCUAUUCCCCCAAUUCAGUAUUUACUCAAGGAAUUUUCUAAAUCUUCUUUUAAAUUUGUUAGCCAAGCUUUCCUUGCUGCUGAUAGGCUCUGGUGAAGAGUAUAUGUUUUAGCUUAAAUUUUAAAACUCUGUGGAGUUCCCUCCCAUAAAAAACAGAAGAGAGAAGAAAGGUUCAUUCAUGUUCAUUGUCUUGUCAUUACAUUUUCUAGUCUAUCAUACAUUUCUCUUUCAUUGUUCUUAAUCUGGCUGAUUCUAAACUUUUAGAAAUCCCUCUCUAUCAUAGUUAAUCAUUGCAUAAAUGAAGGUUACUCUGGGGUUAAGAGCACAGAAAUCAAUGUGCAUUGCUGCUUCCAGAUUCCACCAGCCCAGAAGUAGGAAUCAGGGCAUGUGUUUUGAGGUCCUACUUGCUCAAGUGGACACAACUUGACAUAAGCAACUUAUGAAUAGAAGAUAACUGAAAUAAGUAAUGAAUUUUGGAAAAGCAUAAAUGGAUCUUUAGCAAUUUGCACGUGUAGGCAGAAGCUAAAAAUAAUGAAUACAUUUUAGAAACAAUUAUUCACUCGGCUCUAGUCUACUACCUUCCAUAGACCUAACGUAAAUUUUUCACAAGAUGGUCACUUAGCUAAUUUCAUCAAGGUCUUCCUAGAGCCUGACAGUAUUGAGCAAAUUUGGUGCUUCCUCAUUCACGUUGUCUGAAUUAUUAAUAAAUAGAUUGAAAAUAGCAAUUAUAUUGGAAUAUUGCUUGAUGAAUUUCCACUAUUAACCACUUUCCGUGUUUGCCAGUUAUUCCUACAGACUUCCCACCUUGCAGUCAGUUUUCAAUUCAUUACAAGAUGAAUUGUCAACAAGCUCAUAAGACAGAUUUAUCAAAAUGCUGCAGAAAAUGUUUUUAAAUAAAUUGCAAUCGCUGUUUCCUUGCAUUUCAUAAACUCCUGGACAUAUUAGAAAAGCAUUAGUCAUUCUAUGAAAGUCUCUCUGGUUUCAUUAUGCUAUUUUUAAUUAGUGUCUACAAUGCAGCUAAGGCUGAGUCAUCUCCUGGACUCUUCCAGACUGGCCCCGCAGCGGGGUGGCAGUAGUGCGGCUUGCAAACCCACGCUGCAGAAGGGGCUCGUUCUCACUCCCGUCGCAGCUCUGACGCUCCUGAAGCACCUAUUGCCUACGAUAAAUUAGCUCAGGAAGUUGCUAAUGCAAUGUUAGUAUAAAAAAGACAGCACGGGAACUUGUAAUUACUCCCAGACCAAGAUACGUAUCCAAGAAACUUCGCUUUUGUUUUGUUUUUAAUGUAAAAAAUAUCUUUGUGUGAAUAUUGGAAUAAUUAUAUACAUGUAAGGCAUUCAAGUAGGUCUAACAUCACUGUGUUAUCACCACGCUGUAACGUCACGAUUAUAAAUAGAAAAUAUUCAGGCUUGUAGUUCCACCGCCAGGCAAGAAAUUGAAAAAAAAGCUGUUUCUUCUUUCAGAAGCUAGAGAAUAGAGUCCAAACAAGCUAACAUAAAUACAGAACUUUUCCUCCUCCUACCUGGUUUUCCUGCAGUGGCAGGGCACUGUCCCACUUCAGCAUAUUUCUGAAAUGAACCCUACACACUGAGAUGCACUAAUUAAUUAUCAGAUUGUACCUUAUUUUUUAUAAAAUGUGGGCAUUUCCAGCACUAAAUGACAUAUAACUGGUUCAAAUCAGCCUGAAAUCAGAACAGCCUAAAGUUCAGAAAAGAUAUCAUAGUUAUAUCAUUGCUUAAUUUUCAAGUCUUUUUUUUUUUCAGAAUGCUAUUCAAUCAGUAUUAAGGACACUUUUUUCUUGAUAUGCUACAGUAAAAAAUGUUUUGCUGAUCUGAAAACAUUUUUGGUGGACUUUAACUCCCUAUCUUAGUGAAAAGCUUCAUUGUUGAACCAUUUGUUACAGAUGCAGGGAAACCGUAUGUUGUUGGUUCUGCUACAGAUCAGAUAAUGACUGUAAUACACUACAAGUAUUGUUAAUAUUGUAUUAAUUGUAUUAACUGCAAGACAAGUUAGUAAAGAAAGCAAAGCUUAUCCUUUGACUUCUGAACAGGAGGUGCUGACAGCAUUCAUUCGAACUCACAAAUUAAGGACUUACUUGCUGGAAGAGUAUGGAGCCUUGUACGCACCGUUGGGCUUUUUGUGACUCCUGUAUACCUUUGUAUCUAUAUUGUGCCUCUCUUUUCCUCUGCCAACAAUGCCUCGUUUCCAAACAUCCCUCUGAAGUAUGGAAGCCGGUAUUAGUUUCUUGUGCUUCUCUCUCUUUGGGAAUAAUGCAUUCCUACUCAUUGGUUGCUGCUGCUUCUGUGCCUUUAUUUUUCAGUACCUAGUCACUGGCAGGUGGGUAUGAGUUUGCAUGUUCCUAAAAAAUCAUUGAUUUCCCAGCUGAUUGUAGAGCCUGCUCAGAUGAGCCUACGCUGCAGGAAGGAGCUAUGAGCUUUGGCACCAAGGUCCUGUGUCAUGGAGAUCUUGACUGUCACGCGACAAGGAUGCGGUGAAGUGCCCCAAAUUCUGGUGGGAGCGUCAGAGGGGAAACUCCACGUGGAAACGCUGUCGAGAAAGCAGAGUUGCACAGGCGGCUUCCCUGAACCCUGACAGAACAGCAGAUGCACCGAGGACAAAGCCGCUCCUGAAUGGUCACAGUCAGGGUAUUCGUAAGAAGCAAUUGUUUGGGAUUUUCACAGACACAAAAACUAGGGAGCAGCUGUCUCCAAGACCAGAUUCAACUCAAAAACAGCUAGAUCUUUGAAAGAAACCAGCCCUUAAGCCUCGGGUCCUAAAGGCUUAGGAUCAGUUGGAGGUAGAUUAAUUGAAAUUACUGAAAAAAGACAAAAUAAAGAAUACAGCAGAUCUGCCCAAAGACAAACAACGUCUUAGGAGGAGUUGAAGUGGGAAGGAGAAAAAUUUUGGAUUUACUUUCUGCUGAGAACUGCCUCCCUUAAUCAUGGUCAGAAAAAAAUAGCUGAAGAGGUGCUAGUGGUCAGAGGAAAUAAUACAGUGGGAAUGAAACUCUGUGGAAAAAUACUGAAGCUUUAAUUGCUACAUUUGGCAUGGAUAUAUCUAGGAAGUUAAUCCUAUUGAAUGUUUGCUAUAUUUGGAUAUUGGUUAGUUAUCAGAGGUAUGUGUGUGUGCAGAAUAUGACAUUUUCUGCACCUUUCUUCAGCCAACUGUACAUUAGAAAUGGGUAAUUUAUCGUAUUAUAAGAUUGAUGUUUUGCUCAGUGUAAAGGUGACACUUUCCCUUGCAGAAUAUCCAAACUAACACUGCCAGCCAACAGUCAUUUUAUUAAUCUGCCCCCUAGGCUUUUAAAAUAUGUGUUUCAUAAGUGCAUGAAAUAUUUCUGGUGUUCAGGUAAUAUCAAACUAUAACGUACAACAGUAUAUCCAGUACGCAUGUGAGUUUCAACAGCCACAGUCUAUGAAAAGCAUCUGUCUUCAGUAAGUAACAAGUAUAUGACCUGUUUUUCUUUUUCCUCACUGAAUAUCUGGUAGAUUAAUGCCAGCUUUCUGUGUGAACUCCUUAGUGAGAAAGAUGGAGGAUGCAUGUCUCUUCUCGGUUCCUCUGAUUACAGCCAGCCUUUGAUUCCCGGUGAUUCUUUGCUUACCUGAUUGCUCCCUUCUGAAUGUCACCAGAACUCCAGACGCUCAAACCAGUCAAACCUUUCAUAGCUUUGAAAGUCUUGAUUUAGUACAGUUAGCAAAGAAGAAAUAAUGCUCAACUGAACUGAGCUACACCUGUAGCACGUAAGGGUUAACCAGAAAUAGAAGAAGCUGUAUCAACUCUAGUUUAAAAGGCCGACUUGUUGAGAUGCCGUGUGUAAUCUCUGGAAAGUUAGGGAGCUGGAAAAUGAGUAGUACAUGGUGCUAAGCCCCAGACAGUUCAGCUUACCUGUUUCGAUAACAAGAUCCCAGGUACUAGUACCUACAAUAGUGAGCUGAUGAUGGAUUUCUAAGUGUGCAUGUGGGUGGUUGUUGAGGCCAUGAGUGGUUUGUAAGGAGAAAAGGUACAAACUCAUUAAUAUUGGAAGCUGCAGGUUUGCCUUGUUUGGCUCUGAAAUAAGCAAUAAUUCUAACAGCAUGGUAUAUGCUUCUUAGUGCUUGAGGUCCAUGGACGAAGCUUAGUGCCUAUAGCAAGAUAAGUGAAAUUCAGGGUUUUUUUUCCCCGUUGGACACUACGGUCAGUUGUACUAUGCAGAGAAGCAACAGUGGGUAACAGACCAAGUCAGACAUCAGCAUGAACUUUUGUGACACUCAAAGAGACAUCACACUGGAAAAAUCCUGCCUUCCAGUGCUGGAAGCACUGGACUUUGCGUUCUGAUGCUUUGACAUUUCCUCAUGUGAGAAAAGGACUGGGCGCACUGGGGAAUGCCCACCCUUAACAAGGCUGCAGCGUUCAGCUCAGGGUGUAAGUACCCCCACAGGCAACUAGCAGCUGGUUCUUCUCCCCAAGCCCCCAGCAGCCUUGGCCUCUGGGGCGUCAGAGCACCUCUGCCACACUUAUGGGACUGAGCUCGUUGGAGGAGAUGGUGGUGGGAUCACCACGUCCUUCCUUACCCUUCCCGUGUUACACGGGAGCCUGGGGCUCAGAGCACCUGCCUGGAAGUCACCUCUGUCACUGAAGCCAAACUCCCCGAUUUGUGACAAGCUCCCUGACCAAAGGAGCCUUUUGUUAUUGUCCACCAGGCAGCCCACUGACCAGAUACAGCCUGUGGGAUGUGCUUCUCUAAGCUGUUUUCUUUUUCCAGAGGAAAUUGCUGCUGUUUGAGCAGCAAACGCUGUGUGACCAGUGCAACCGCCCUUGCUUGCUGCAUGUGGGAGUGGUGGCGGAGGAAAAGGGGUCUGUGCCACAGUGGGGGCUCUAUUCCCCACUGCUGGAGCAGCACGUAACCACACAGCAGGGCAAAUUUGCAGCCAGGACAGGGGUCACUAACCCAGAGGUGGCUGAAGAGGGAGAGGAGGGGUGGGAGGGGAGCUGCUUCUCCCAUGGGGGCCAGUUGCUGCUUGCAUAGAGAGGCUCCUUAGCAAGAAGGGCAAGAAAGCUGUGUUUGCUUCCUGUCCGUGCCCCAGGAGGUUUCACACAAAGGCUCAGCUCCAGCAGGAGUGACUGAUAGUCGUGCCAAUGCCUCGCUGUUUGGGGGGCCAGGCUUCAAGCUGGAGGGGUUAGGCUUCAAUCCCCUCAGACUGGCAAGGGCUUCACAGUCAGACCUUUCCCUUGCUGCCCCACCACAUUGCUCCCAGACCCUCUGCAAGAGGUGGGGGGCUGCUGCUUUCUCAGCAUAGAAGAGGACUGCGGGGCUUUGAAUCCCCCAAGAAGAGGGAGCGGUUGAGGGAGCGGUUGUAUAAAAAUUGGAGCAGUGAACUUUAAAACGUCGCCCGUUUUUCUGUUGAAGCUGUGAGUGGUGGUUGUUGCCGUCCCCUGUAGCACCUGCUGGCCCUGGGUAGGAUCCCUCCAGGCAUGUGCAAUCACAGAGCACAGUGUGGCCGCAAAGAAAUUACAGCUCACGAUCUGCAACUUAAAAGGGGGGGGGGGGGGGGGGGAAAUGAUACAAGCAAUCAGAUGUAUGCUGUUUUAUUCAUACAUGUGGCAUGCGUGGAUACUUUUGUGUCUACAUUUUUCUGUUCUGUUUUCAUUCCAUAAACAUCAGCGCUUCUUUUUAACUCCGAGCCUGGCCAUUACAAGCUGGCUCUUCUCAUGGUGCUGUUGAAGUAGAUCUCAUUGAAUAGGAGAAAAUAACAGCUCAGGCUUAGGUUACUGUAAGCUGGGCUGUCUGAGGGACAAAUUUACAUUUAGACUGAGCCUCUUCACAUCUUCCCUAAGUAAUUGUAAACUCUCCUGUGCCUCAGCCCUAGGAAGGAAUUUAGGGAGCCCUGCACUGCCAAACUGUGCCUUAUGCUUUGUAAAAUGUUUGAUAGCUAAUCUAAAUAGUCAGGCUUAGCAUCUACUUUUCAUAAUUAUUUGUGCAAGUACAACUCGGUUAUCAAAUGCCUGCAUAUAUCAGACAAAGGACAUGGGCAUUGCCAAAAUAAAUUUGUUGUGAAAGUGUUAUGUCUGAUUAUUCAUAUUAUUCAGCCACCACCCAGAUGUCCUAUUAUUUAGGAGCUGCACGAGCAUGUAAGAAACUGUUCCACCACCAGGGAUGUAUGGCUAAUUUAAGAUAAGAGACAACAAUUGAACAUUAGAAGCAAAUAAAAAGAAUGGGAGAGGAGAAUUAGAGUAAGUGCGAUAGACAGUCUGUAGCGGCAUGCUCCUGUGUGAACCAUUAGUGAGUUUUGUGUAAAGGGAAGAAUGGUUUGAUAUAAAUAAAUAAGAAAUAUGAUACUGGUAUUCCUUACCAGGCAUUUGCCUAGCCCAAUGGAGAUUUCUGUGGUAUGCACUUAGCUUUCAUAUUAGGAUCUUAUUCUCAUUCACGCUGUGCCCAUUUACACCGCUUCGUUAGGGAUCUCCAAAUGGCAUUACACAGGCAGCAGAAGACAGAGGAACACAGCCAAAACACUACAGCUGGGCUCGUACCACAGAAAUUCGCCAUCUGUAUCCAGCUAGGCACGUGCCCAGCAAGGGUUACUGAUACUGCAUUUCUUUGUUACUAAAUUCUUUUUACUGCUGGAGCAAUGUAAAGGGCUCUUAGUGUGACUGAGCAUUGGUCUCAGUCUAAAGUGUGUUUGGCUGUCUUACAUUUUCAGUUCCACUGCGAUUUUGUUUGAGUGUCAAUGCAAAUAAAUCACUUGUUAUGAUGCCUA